rnacentral:rRNA from 1 species
AGCGUACACGGGGGAUGCCUUGGCACCAACUGCCGAAGAAGGGCGUGGCAAGACUGCGAUAAGCCUCGGUUAGUCGUCUAGCUGACUUAACCGGGGAUUCCCGAAUGGGGUAACCCAAUUCACUAAAUGUGAAUUAUCUUUGAGCUAACCCUUAAUUCAAAGAAGGUAAGCAGGGGAACUGAAACAUCUAAGUACCCUGAGGAAGAGAAAUCAAAAGAGAUUCCCGUAGUAGUGGCGAACGAAAUGGGAAUAGCCUAAACCAUAGAGGCUUCACGGCUUUGGGGCCCAUGUCUUUAUGGGGUUGUAAGAAGUAUGUGUUGAGUCCCAUAACUCAACGAGGAGUAAGAAAACCAUUUUCUAUUCGAAUGUUCCUGGAACGGACUGCCAGAGAAGGUGAGAGCCCGGUAGAUUAAAGGAAAUGGUCUCCUUAUUACUGUCUUAAGUAGAGCGGGACACGAGAAAUCUUGCUUGAAUCAGGGGGGACCAUCCUCCAAGGCUAAAUACAGUUGGUGACCGAUAGUGAACUAGUACCGUGAGGGAAAGGUGAAAAGUACCCCGAGAGGGGAGUGAAAUAGACCUGAAACCGUGUACGUACAAACAGUCGAAGUAUCGAUUUAUCGAUAUGACGGCGUGCCUUUUGAAGAAUGAACCUGCGAGUUACUGGGACGUGGCAAGGUUAAUCUGCUCAGCAGAGGAGCCGAAGCGAAAGCGAGUCUGAAUAGGGCAUUCAGUCGCGUUCCGUAGACCCGAAACCAGGCGAGCUACCCAUGGCCAGGUUGAAGCUCAGAUAGUCUCUGAGUGAAGGACCGAACCCAUUUCAAGUACAAAUGGAUGGGAUGAGUUGUGGGUAGAGGUGAAAUGCCAAUCGAGCUUGGAAAUAGCUGGUUCUCCCCGAAAUGCAUUUAGGUGCAGCGUUGAAGAUUGACUUAAGGAGGUAAGGCUCUGGAUGGGUCAGGGGGUGCAAACUUACCGAUCCCAACCAAACCAAGAAUGCCUUAAGCUCGUACUUCAGCAGUGAGACAGUGGGGGAUAAGCUCCAUUGUCGAGAGGGAAACAGCCCAGACCACCGUCUAAGGUCCCCAAGUAUAUACUCAGUGUGAAAGGAAGUUGAAUCGCCAAAACAGCCAGGAGGUUGGCUUAGAAGCAGCCACCCUUUAAAGAGUGCGUAAUAGCUCACUGGUCGAGGGGUUCUGCGCCGACAAUUUAACGGGGCUUAAGUAUAUCACCGAAGACGUGGCAUCAGUUUACUGAUGGGUAGGGGAGCGUUCUGUAGGCAGUGAAGUCUAGUUGUAAAGCUAGGUGGAGCGUACAGAAGUGAGAAUGCAGGUAUGAGUAGCGUAUAUCUCGGUGAGAAUCCGAGACGUCGAAAAUCUAAGGUUUCCUACGCAACGUUUAUCGACGUAGGGUUAGUCGGUCCUAAGGUGUAUCCGAAAGGAGUAACCGAUGGACAGUAGGUCAAAAUUCCUACACCACCUAAUAUUCGUUUUAAUACAAAGGGGGGACACGGAAAGGUAGGCUGAGCGUACCCAUUGGACAUGGUGCGUUCUUCUUUGAAGGCCAUCUCGCAAGACAUGUAAAUCAGUUAGCGAGGUUAUGAGCUGAGGAAGGAGAGAACUCUAGGGCUCGCCCUGGGGAAUUUGGUUGAACCUAUGCCGUCAAGAAAAGCCUCGUUGUAAGGGUAAUGGGUGACCGUACCCCAAACCGACACUGGUAGAUGAGCAUGAAAGUGCUAAGACGGUCGAGAGAACUCUGGUUAAGGAACUCGGCAAAAGGACCCCGUAACUUCGGGAUAAGGGGUUCCCUCGGGGUGAAGUCUAUUUACUAGACCAGCUCUAGAGGGACACAGCAAAUUGGCCCAAGCGACUGUUUAUCAAAAACACAGGUCUCUGCUAAGGGGUAACCCUAGGUAUAGAGGCUGACGCCUGCCCAGUGCCGGAAGGUUAAAGGGAAAGGUUAUCCGUAAGGAGAAGCUUUGAACUGAAGCCCCGGUGAACGGCGGCCGUAACUAUAACGGUCCUAAGGUAGCGAAGUCCCUUGUCGGGUAAGUUCCGACCCGCACGAAUGGCGUAACGACUUCA